AGUCUUCUGUAUUGGUCCCGAGAUUUCAUCAGACAACAGACCGUCAGUACUGACGAGACUCCCAAGAUAAGUAAAGUG
rfam:Schistosoma rodhaini strain Burundi genome assembly, scaffold: SROB_scaffold0003299